UACGGAGGAUGCGAGCGUUAUCCGGAUUUAUUGGGUUUAAAGGGUGCGUAGGCGGACGCUUAAGUCAGCGGUAAAAUUGCGGGGCUCAACCUCGUCGAGCCGUUGAAACUGGGUGCCUUGAGUGGGCGAGAAGUACGCGGAAUGCGUGGUGUAGCGGUGAGAUGCAUAGAUAUCACGCAGAACUCCGAUUGCGAAGGCAGCGUACCGGCGCCCAACUGACGCUGAAGCACGAAGGCGUGGGUAUCGAACAGG
rnacentral:rRNA from 1 species